UGCGUUUGCACGCAGAACGCGUUUACAAAUAUCACUUUAAUGUUGAUCUUCAACGAUUCGCCCAAGUUGACAAAUUAAUAUAAUUUUAUAAAAUAUUGUUCACUUCUCGGGGCGAACUGGUUUGAAAUAAAAAUGUUGCUGAAUCCCGCAAGCAUAAUUAAAUUCGAAUUUGCUGAACUUUGUGUACCCAACGCACUUCAUAGAAAUAUCACAUUGGUUAUAGUGAUUAGAUGGGGCCAAACACAACACAUUUAUUAAAGUUUAUCUACUCACGAUUUUGACUAUAAUCCGUCCAAGAUUGCGCCGGGGGUAUGUCACGCAAGAAUGUAGGUAUAUUUGGCAGUCUUGC